rnacentral:rRNA from 1 species
AUGCUUAACACAUGCAAGUCGAACGUGCCUUCGGGCAAGUGGCAGACGGCUGAGUAACGCGUGAGUAACACACCCUUCGGUGGGGUAUAGCCUCGGGAAACUGAGGGUAAUCCCGCAUACGAUCCCUACGCUCUGGUGUAGGGAUGAAAGCCUUCGGGCGCCGGAGGAGUGGCUCGCGUCCUAUCAGGUAGUUGGUGAGGUAACGGCUCACCAAGCCGAUGACGGGUAGCUGGUCUUAGAGGACGAUCAGCCAGAGGGGGACUGAGACACGGCCCCCACUCCUACGGGAGGCAGCAGCAGGGAAUUUUGGGCAAUGGACGAAAGUCUGACCCAGCGACGUCGCGUGGGGGAUGAAGGCUCUAGGGCUGUAAACCCCUUUUCCGAGGGAAGAGGAAGGACGGUACCUCGGGAAUAAGCUCCGGCUAACUACGUGCCAGCAGCCGCGGUAAUACGUAGGGAGCGAGCGUUACCCGGAAUUACUGGGCGUAAAGAGCACGUAGGCGGUUGGAUAAGUCUUCUGUGAAAGCUCCUGGCUCAACUGGGAGAGGUCAGGGGAUACUAUUCGACUUGAGGGCUGUAGAGGUAAGCGGAAUUCCCGGUGUAGCGGUGAAAUGCGUAGAUAUCGGAAGGAACACCAGUGG